ensembl:lncRNA
CAUGCAUAUUCCGAGAUGCCUGUUUUGGGCAUAAAACAUAAUUUCCAGACCUGGCCAACUGCAAACCCCACCCCCCACUAUUUUACUUUACUUUACUUUACUAUGUGACUGUCGGUGUAUGUAUUGGAAAGCAUAGCUGUUUUUUUCUGCUAACGGUGUUAUUCUUAUCUAUUUCCCACCAAACCAUAUAGGACCACAUCAGUCCUGGAGAGUUUCCAGAACCACGUCCUGAUGUACGCAGCAAAGCGCAUGGGAUACACACCCUUUGUGUACAAGACACGAACCCUUCUAGCGGCUAUUGAUUAUAACAAACACAACCAACGUCAGGCAGCACGCAAUAGGGAAGGGCACAAGAUGUACAAACGGUCGUACAACAAGAAGUCAAAGAACUGGACAGUCAGCACAAUUAAGGAAAUAAAAGAGUACAGCUAUAUAUGGGAGAUACAGACAGCCAUCCUGUCCUGUAGGAUAGCAAGUGGGACUGGCCUGCCACGAACAGUGACAAUGAGGGCUAGUGACCCAAGACGGCUCGGCCUGCUUGCCCCUGUUCAGCCACCGCCCACAUCCGAGCUUGUGAGGGUGCAACUAGCACGAGGAAACAUGUUUCCAGAAAACCCACAAGCCACCCAAUAGCCACGCCACUUAUGCCUUGCUCUUUCAAUAACAAAAUAAAUCUUUUUCUAGUGUCUUUCAUUGAAC